AAACACGGUAUAUCUGCAUAGAAUCAACUAUCCCAAACCCUUUACUAAUAAACCCGAUGGUUUCAUAAGAACAGUACUGCUCAGUUCAUUUCAUGCCACAGGUUCAGAAAUCACAUUUGCAGUCAGAUACUCAUGCUGGUGAGGAAAAAGCAGCUAGUAAGUGUCUGGCCUUCGGCAGCCUCUCAGAGCCUCAGAAGGACCAUGGAAUUUUUAUUCCUGGUAUGUAUUCGAGUCAAUAUUUCUACAACAUUGGGCACAGGACACGUGUUCAAUUUUGCAUUAUAGUCCACAUCAUCAGUGCUCUAUAAAUAUAAAUUAAGAUAACUAUUCCACAAACUGUUUAAAACAGCAAUAAGAAAGUCAUAGUUUCUUGCCAGCAAUUCGUGCCAGGUCAAACUCUCCAGAAAAGGUCUAUCGUAUAUCGUAUAGUUUACAAACAGUAGCAGUUUUCUAAACAAAGUUAAUAUGCCAAAGACAACACGGCUGAUCAUAAGUAGUGUCUGCAUUAGACACAAAACACAUGGGAUUUAAAUUUAUUAACACUAGAAUCCUGUUAGAACCAUUAACUGACACCAGUGUAUUUAACUCUCUGACCUUGGGACAUUAGUUAAGGGAUGACAACCAUCACUAUUUAUUGUUAAUCUGUAAUGUGAUUUUAUGCAAGAUUCAAACUAUGGUGGAUUAAAUUUCUUCCUUUUUUUUUUUUUUUUUUUUUUCGGGUAGACACAGGGUUUCACUAUGUUGUCAAGGCUGGUCUCAAACACAGGGGCUCUAGGGAUCCUCCAGCCUCAGCCGGAGUAGCUGGGACUACAGGUACAUGCCACAAGGCCCACUUUUACACUAAAUAUCAAUGAAUAAAAUAAUAAAUGAAUAAAAUAAUAUAAUGAAUAAAAUAAAAUAAUAUAAUGAAUAAAAUAUAAUGAAUACAAUAAAAUGAAUAAAAUAAUCAAUGAAUAAAAUAAUAUUUCUACCGAACAAGUGGAAAUUCCAUACAAAUAAUUUUUUAAAUUAUAUAUAUAUAUUAUUUCUCACAAAAUUGAUUCUGGUAAUACCCAGAAGUGUUUCAUAGACUCAUACAACUGAUAUACAAUCAAAUACGCUAUGUUUGCAACUUAUCCUAUAGGUCUUUAUGUAUCUAUUAUGGAUACAUAAUUUCAAGAAAUUUGAGUACAUAUGCUAGAUUUAGAAUGGACUGUCCUCUCUGAUGGUGACUGUGUGUGAUUUGCUGCAGUUAGGAAGGGCAGCUUUCCACACUUAGGCAUUUCAUUGUCUUGGACUUUGUCAUCAUCUCGGCCUUCUAGCAUGUCAGGAUGAUCUAAGGAACCAUUUGAGCUCAAGGUAAGAUUAGCUAGAAAGGUUGAGAUGUAUUACCCAGUAAUCCCAGAGUUCAGUACAAAAUUGACCCUUUCAGAGACCUUAGUCCAAAGAGCCGCAGUUACACUACACUUCUAGAGUAAAUAUCUUGGGGCAUUUGUGCACUGGAGCAUCACCAAGAUGCGAUUUUAGUGCAGUAGACCAAUUCAACAUAGACACAGUAGAACCCGACAUAGAUCACAGCCUGCUCUAAAUCAUAAUAUUCUGACAUGCAGACAUAUUGAAAGAUCAUGUUG
rnacentral:lncRNA from 10 species